CUUCGUUACUGAAAUAUGAAUCUAAUCCCAUCUCUGAAUUUGAUCAACCAAAACUGUGCAAACUGAGAGCUUCCUAAAUUGGAUUUUAGUAGUGAAUUGAUUUGAGCCCUACUUUUUGUUUAGCACAUCAGCUGCUUAUGUCAGCCUGUACUGUAGUGGUGGGUUAGUGACCUCAGUGAUAUGUUGGAAGCUACAGACUUAACUGUCAAUAGGAUUGGCUUGGCCCUUUAUCCUUCAGCGGCAGAUAAAUAGAGCCCCAUUCAGUAGGUUCAUUGUGUAGGGAUUUGUUGGAGUUUUAUUUAUGCAGAUUUGGAAGCAGUUGGAGAUCAUCAACAUCCAAUACACCCUCUGUCAAAUAUUUCUCUUCCAUUGUUGGGUUAUUAAAAUAUGGGUUGGGAGGUUGGGGGAUUCUGUCCUUUUUAGAAGCAAAUACUUUUUUAAAAAUAAUCAAAAGAGCAUUUUUUUUAUUUUGUAUUUUUUGGUAUCUAGGGUAUCUCUGAGUAGUCGAUUUUUGAUCUCUACCCAUCCUCAAAACUGAAAACCAGUCCUCCAUUUCUCCAGGGCUUACCUUUUCAUCACUUGAAGACCAGUGGUUACGUGAUUUGGACCCACUGAGGAACGUAGAAUGAUAUCAGUUCAAAAGUAUUGGAUACCUGUGGAGCACUUUGCAAGAUAUUGCAGGAUUUUUGGGGCUUUCUAUAGAACUACACAGAAGUAUUGCUGAGUACUUUGCAAUAUGAAUUCCUGCAAUUUGCAGGAAUUUGCCACGCUUUUCAGGUGAUCAUGCUUGGCACUGUAUGCCACAAUGUGGAAACUUGACGGUAUCCUCAAGACACUAGAGAGCAUGACCAGGGGAUGAUGCCAGGGUGGGCAAGACAUAGCAUGCAUUAUACCUGUGUAGCUAAAGUGCCCACAAGAGACUGCAAAACUUCUCUAAGCAGCAGUGUGAUCAUGGUGAAGACAGCAGUAAGAUCUUAUAUAACAGAAGACAGAAAAAGACAGAGAAGGAGUCACGUGGAGAUGCACACACAUAUUGGGGACUGGUGGAGACUUCACUUAAGAAUCUCUCAUCAAGAACAGGCACAGAGUACGAAUUGAGGAGGCUCUGAAUUCCGGAAGCACUUCCAGGAACUGUGGGGUUGACAGAAGGGAUAUGCAACAGGUUCUGCAUCCUUGAGGAUCUCACUGCAAGAACAGCACAGAAAGAGCAUGACCCAACUCAAGAGGAGUCUAGACAUCGAGUUGCACAAGACUGAGUGUGCACAAUGGGAUUGGAGAGAAGUAACGGCAUGGGCUGCCAUGAUCAGGGAAAGCUGCACAGAAGUGUUGGGUUUGGUGAGUGUCUCACAGUGAGUGACUGCUAUGAAUCAGAUACUGAGGCAGAGCUAAAUAAGGUGCAGCCUUUGCUCUAAGGAGCUUAGAACCAGUAAAGAAAGACGUAUUAACAUGCAAUGUUUAAAUGGUGCAGUGAGGGAGUGCUAGGAAUGGUUUUCGGGAAUAUUGUAAGAACAUGGAAGGAAAAGGGCUUAAGUUGGCUUUGCAGGAUGAAUUGGGUCUAAGUUAGCCCUAGGUAGGUGGAUCAGCACGAACAAAGGUAUAACAGUGGGGAAAC
rnacentral:lncRNA from 1 species